UUUACAAAGAGUGAGAGCAUGUUCAACACUGUGGACGUCCAAAAGCAGAACUUCUGUGAGGAACCGGGACAUCCAGGAUGGUGAGGAGCUUCCCAGUCCCCACCUGAGGACGGCACAGAGAAAGACUGAAACAGAAAACACAUGGAGGAAAGCAGGUUGAAGAUGGAAGCAGUUUUCUAGCAGCCGGAUCACAUUGGAACAGAGUCCAUCCACACGUGUUUGGAGGAGCUGAAGAAGAGGACGGAGCACAGAGACCGCUAAGGAGGAGAAACAUGGCUCCUCUAUUUCUCUCCAACAUGCUGGAGUCCUGGACUGAAAAACGUUGACGACCCUGCAGCUAAACCAUCAGUCUGCUCCACCCAAUAAGGUCAUCUGCUCCUUGGACCGGCGCCUCUGUGUCUGUUGGACGUCUGCUGUCCUGUUAAAGACCCGCUGGGCCGCAGUAGAUGGGCGCUGACAUGGAGCUGCUGGAGGUUCCUUCCUGCUUAAAGCUGCUUUUCCUCUCUACUGUCACCACUUCACUGCUCAGGAGGAAGGACUGCUGUAAAAUUAACGACUGGAUGUGAUUGGCUGAGCUUCCUCGGGUUGAAGACAUUUCUCUAAACGCCAUAAUAAGCUGAAUUUAUUUUUACCAUGUUUUAAAUAGGAUUGGGCUGGACUGCAUGUUUGUGUUUCUAAUUGAUUCUGUGUUUCUGCUGUUUUCUGUUACAUGUUUUUGUAUUAAAGUUGUCAUGUAAAUUGCCUUCAGAUGACAUUUGCUGGGACUUGUUUCUAUUUUACAAGACUGGAUUAUAAUAAAUUCCCCUACUGGGUCUGUUUCUGUUGAAGGAUGCUUCCUGUCGUUCUAUCUUCACAUGUUAUUUCUCACUAUAAUAAAGGUUUGAUUGAAGUCAUGUGAA